rnacentral:ncRNA from 1 species
UAUUCUCUGCCGCCGGGUAGAGAGUUUAGGCGUCAGGUUUCAUAUCAUUAGGCCAUAGAAGAUAUGAAAUGCUGACGUUAUUUUUU